CUUUGUUUUGUAGCUUCCCUCUUAAAUGGGUAUGUGUAAGUAAGUAAGCAAAAAUCUCUCUGCAUAUCUCUCUCCAUAUCUCUGUCUCUCCACACGUCUUUCCUUUUAUCUCUCUCUGUCUCUGUGUCUGUGGAUUGAAGAGUAAUGGAUUCUGGUAAUAGUGGAAGUAUGCAAUCUUCAAGUGGUGGAGAUGAGGAGUAUGAUUCACGCGCAGAGUCAAUCUCAGCUUUCUUGAACAACAAUAACAACCCAUUAAGCCAUGUUGGUCCCAUGCCUAACCCACCACCACCACAGCCACCACCACCACCACCAGACCACCACCACCACCAAACCCAUCACCCCUCUUCAUCAUCCAUGUUUAACCUCUUAUCAAACUACUUUGAUCCUUUAUCCUCAUCAAGAUCGCCGCCGCCGCUCACAAACCCAAAUUCAUUCCUCAAUCUUGAUAUGGUCUGGUCCAAAAACUUAAGAUCUGAGACGAAUUGCACUGAUCUUGGUGGUUUCGUAACCCCAUCCUCACCAACCCAACAAUUUUUCACCAACCAACCACAAAGUAGAACCACUUUUCCUUCAGUACAAAUCCCCCAGGGACCAGAAAUUGUUGCAAGAGGUUCGGGUUCAGCUUCAGCUUCGGGUUCGAAUGAUCAGACCAACAACAACACCACCACCACCCCCACCAAUAAUAUUGUUCGUAAUCCUAAGAAGAGAUCCAGAGCUUCGAGGCGUGCACCAACCACUGUUUUGACCACAGACACCACUAAUUUCCGAGCCAUGGUUCAGGAGUUCAC
rnacentral:misc_RNA from 1 species